CGCGGGGUGGACCAGUAGUUAGGUCGUCAGGCUCAUAACCUGAAGGUCGUCGGUGCAAAUCCGGCCCCCGCAA
rnacentral:tRNA from 1 species